UACUGUGUAAGGUUUAGUGGUUUGAGCAUUGGACUAUGACUCUGGAGACCUGGGUUCGAUUCCCCACCUGGCCA